rnacentral:rRNA from 1 species
AUUGAACGCUGGCGGCAUGCCUUACACAUGCAAGUCGAACGGCAGCAUGAUCUAGCUUGCUAGAUUGAUGGCGAGUGGCGAACGGGUGAGUAAUACAUCGGAACGUGCCCUGUAGUGGGGGAUAACUAGUCGAAAGAUUAGCUAAUACCGCAUACGACCUGAGGGUGAAAGUGGGGGACCGCAAGGCCUCAUGCUAUAGGAGCGGCCGAUGUCUGAUUAGCUAGUUGGUGAGGUAAAGGCUCACCAAGGCGACGAUCAGUAGCUGGUCUGAGAGGACGAUCAGCCACACUGGGACUGAGACACGGCCCAGACUCCUACGGGAGGCAGCAGUGGGGAAUUUUGGACAAUGGGCGAAAGCCUGAUCCAGCAGUGCCGCGUGUGUGAAGAAGGCCUUCGGGUUGUAAAGCACUUUUGUCCGGAAAGAAAUGGCUCUGGUUAAUACCUGGGGUCGAUGACGGUACCGGAAGAAUAAGGACCGGCUAACUACGUG